AAAGUUUGACAGACAAUCGCUGGCGGCGCGAGCCGCGAGAGGAAAGUCCGGGCUCCAUAGGGCAGGAUGCUGGAUAACGUCCAGUCGGCGCGAGCCGAAGGAUAGUGCCACAGAAAUGGACCGCCGAUGACUCAUCCCCGAACUGGUUUUGGGGCCCCCGCAAAGUAAUCGGAAUAAGCUUCGAAGCUUACCGUCACUUUGUGGGGAUUGAGAACAGGCAAGGGUGGAACCGUGGUGUAAGAGACCACGAGGGGCAUGGGUGACCAUGCGCCUGGUAAACCCCAUCUGGAGCAAGACCGAAGAGGAACGCAGCAGUCUUCGAGACUGCAGCCCUAGCCCGGGGCGCGUUCGGGUUGGUCGCUUGAGCGUGCCGGCAACGGUACGCCUAGAAAGAUGAUUGUCGCUUCCAUCCGUGGGAGGACCGCCCGGUCCGCGAUACCACCGGAAGUACAGAACCCGGCUUACGGCAAACUUUCCGG
rnacentral:RNase_P_RNA from 1 species